rnacentral:lncRNA from 1 species
CUCCAACCAGAAACAAGAGAUACCCUCUCCCUACCCUAACUGUCCCUGCUCUUUUCCCACAGCCCCUCUGUCUGGCAGCUGCAGCUUCCCUUCCUUCAUCUGUCCCCCCAUGACUCUCUGCCCCAGCCUAAGGCACACCAUCUAGAAUCAGGGAACAGAGAGGCACCCCGACUACCCAACCCUUCCAGAACUUCCCUUACACUCCAAACCCU